CUAGGUCUCUAGACCUAUUUCCUUUUCGGCUUAACACGCUCUGAGGAAAAGAUCUCAACAUUUCAGCUCUUUCAGGAAGUGAGCUCUCCGUCUGGAAAUCUAUAGCAGAUUUUCAAAUUGGGAAACGAUAACUAUGCUGUGAAAUGAAAACUCUUUUAUUGGACAGAGCAUACAAAUGAAGGAUUAUAUUGCCACCUAAAUAUCCCAAGCAUGCUUAACGGCUUUUGCCAUUUUUGGAGGAUGCUCGCCGCUAAUUGUGGCUGCCAGUGGAGGUCAAAUUGAGAUCUUCAGGCUUGGCAGCGACCGUCUUUUACUCACUGAGCCAUCUCACUGGCUCCUGGGUACCUACGUCUUCAAUGGCACCUUCUUGCUGCUGAGUGCUUAAAUGUGGAAGGAUCAAGCCAGUUCCUCAAGGCCCUCCCCAUUUUUUGACCUCCCUGAGGGCUGGGAGGACGGUUCAAUUGCUGAUGACCUCAAUUUGAUCUCUGUAACUGAUGGAAAAAACCGGAUGCAGCAGUGUGCAUCUGUAUGUAACGCUGGCACUCUUAACGCUGAGAUGGAAUGCCGAGACAGAGAGUGAACUGGGAGGAGCGAGCAGGCCAGCUAGCCUGUGGUACGCAGCACGGCAGAAACAAGGAAACCGUGCCCUGGUGAGGUGAAGGGGAUAUCGUGGUGAUGGUAAAGUCCUUCCAGCCUGGUGGGGAGGAGACAUGCUGACAGAAGUUUUCUUCUUCAUGGUCAAGAGUGCCAAGUCAGAGCCCUGCCUGAAUCUGGUGAUGCAGAUGAUGAACAGCUGUCAGACGGGAGAGGGACAACCAGUGAAGUAGAAAACCAGCCGGACUAUUUCCUCUCUGACCUACUCAGAGCUCUGGGAUUCUGCGGACGGAUUAAUCAUUUAGAAGUGGAGAGUUGGAAUAUUGCAGAUAGAGAGCCAAAAUUAUCAUGGUCUAUCUUUAGCUCUUCUUCUGACCAUUUAUGACCAAUGUCUGUUACGGACCUAACAUCCUUUCCAUGCUCACGUAAGACCUUUUUGAAUGUAUUGAUUUAGCAUAUCGUUGGCUUCCACCAACAUAAAGACCGAGGACAUCAUCAGAUGAUACGGAAAGCUGCUAGCAGAGGCUUCCUUGCUUCUCCGUAACCUUUCUGCUGCCCGACCAACGCAUAGAUUUUAUGACUUCGUUCUGUGACUUUAAGAGUUCCUGUAACAACUUCCACGGUGGAACACGUCAUUCAAACCAACUUGAAUCUCUAUUCCCAGGUCAUGGUCCCACAUAUUUGGCUCAGGAAAAAUGACCUCUUACUUCCAGUCAGAGCAGUGUUUUACCCUGACAGGGAUGUAAUUUCCUUUCCUCUCCCUAGCCUUUUUAAAAAACUGUACUAGAGAUUAAACCUAGGUCUUCAUGUAUCUGAGGCAAGUGCUCUACCACUGAGCCAAAGGUUCUAGAAAUUUGAUUUCCAAGUUCUGAUCUGGGGGCUAGUGAGAUUUCUUAGUGGGUAAGGCAUCUGCUGCUAGACCUCAUGGCCUGAAUUUGAUUCCCAAGACCCACUUGGUAGGAGAGAACAUUUUCCUGCAAGUUGUCAUCUGACCUACACACAUGAGUGUUGUGGCUCAAACGCACCCCCUUGGCAAAAUGUACAAAAUAGAUAAAUAAAUAAAUAAAUAAAUAAAUAAAUAAAUAAAUAAAUAAAUAAAUAUGAAUCAGUUUUCAAAAUUUAUUGCUUGGGGUCUAAAGUCCAGCUAUCGUAGGUAAACCCCAGAAAAUGUUGGGAUCCCUUAAACAUUGAUCAACAAAGGGUUUCCAUAUAUCAAGAAUUUGCUUAUUAUUACUGACAGUAAUAUGGAGUCCAUGAUCAAAUUCCUAUACUAUUUUUAUUGAUUGAAAGUAUAGAAAAAAAGUUACUUAUUAUUGAAGUCAGUUUUUUCUUUUUUUUUUCU